rnacentral:sRNA from 1 species
GCUGGGCACGGUGGCCUAUGCCUGUAAUCCCAGCAGCUUGGGAGGCUGAAGCAGGAGGAUGACAAGUUUGAAACCAGCCUCAGCAAUAGUGAGGCACCAAGCAACAGUAUCUGUAAGAUACUGUCUCUA